rnacentral:rRNA from 1 species
AGUGAACGCUGGCGGUAGGCCUAACACAUGCAAGUCGAACGGCAGCACAGUAAGAGCUUGCUCUUACGGGUGGCGAGUGGCGGACGGGUGAGGAAUACAUCGGAAUCUACUUUUUCGUGGGGGAUAACGUAGGGAAACUUACGCUAAUACCGCAUACGACCUACGGGUGAAAGCAGGGGAUCUUCGGACCUUGCGCGAUUGAAUGAGCCGAUGUCGGAUUAGCUAGUUGGCGGGGUAAAGACCCACGAAGGCGACGAUCCGUAGCUGGUCUGAGAGGAUGAUCGGCCACACUGGAGCUGGGCCACGGUCCAGACUCCUGCGGGAGGCAGCAGUGGGGAAUAUUGGACAAUGGGCGCAAGCCUGAUCCAGCCAUACCGCGUGGGUGAAGAAGGCCUUCCGGUUGUAAAGCCCUUUUGUUGGGAGAGAAAAGCAGCAGGUUAAUACCCCGCUGUUCUGACGGUACCCAAAGAAUAAGCACCGGCUAACUUCGUG